rnacentral:rRNA from 1 species
UGCGGGGGGGGCAAGCGUUGUCCGGAAUUAUUGGGCGUAAAGAGCUCGUAGGCGGUCUGUCGCGUCCGUUGUGAAAACUCGAGGCUCAACCUCGGGCUUGCAGUGGAUACGGGCAGACUAGAGUGCGGUAGGGGAGACUGGAAUUCCUGGUGUAGCGGUGGAAUGCGCAGAUAUCAGGAGGAACACCGAUGGCGAAGGCAGGUCUCUGGGCCGCAACUGACGCUGAGGAGCGAAAGCAUGGGGAGCGAACAGG